rnacentral:rRNA from 1 species
AUGAAAAUGUUGAGUUGGAACUGUCGAGGCUUGGGUCAGCCUCGUACAGUUCAAGAGUUGGUGUGCCUCUGUAAGACGCAUAGACCCAAUGUUAUCUUUUUAUUUGAAACAAGGAGAAAUAAAGAGUAUGUUGAGAGUUUGUGCUACAGGUUGGAUAUGAAUAAUGUGUUUACUGUUUCUGGCCAUGGUAAAGGUGGAGGACUAGCUGUGUUUUGGGGAGAUGGAACAAAGUGGAGGUGCACUUUCAUUUACGGUGACCCUAAGGCGAGCCAAAGGUACGUUAUGUGAGAUCUCUUGAGACGGUUAAAACCUCUUGGUGUAGGA